GUGGGGAAUCUUAGACAAUGGGGGAAACCCUGAUCUAGCCAUGCCGCGUGAGCGAUGAAGGCCUUAGGGUUGUAAAGCUCUUUCAGCUGGGAAGAUAAUGACGGUACCAGCAGAAGAAGCCCCGGCUAACUCCGUGCCAGCAGCCGCGGUAAUACGGAGGGGGCUAGCGUGGUUCGGAAUUACUGGGCGUAAAGCGCGCGUAGGCGGACCAGAAAGUUGGAGGUGAAAUCCCAGGGCUCAACCUUGGAACUGCCUUCAAAACUCCUGGUCUGGAGUUCGAGAGAGGUGAGUAGAAUUCCGAGUGUAGAGGUGAAAUUCGUAGAUAUUCGGAAGAACACCAGUGGCGAAGGCGACUCACUGGCCCAAUACUGACGCUGAGGCGCGAAAGCGUGGGGAGCAAACAGGAUUAGAAACCCCUGUAGUCC
rnacentral:rRNA from 1 species